UAUGUUAACACACUUGCAUGUGAAUAGAAAUGCGAUAUUAUCUAUCCAACAUAAAACAAGCAUCAAAAUCAGUAUUUCACAAGAUCAAAAAAAAUCUUCAGUUCCAUGGUACAGAGGUCAAAAAUUUUAACAAGAAAAUAAGGAAAUGUAGGAGGACAUUCACUGAUGUAUUUACAAAUAUUAUGAGAACCACAAACAAAAUUUCUGCAUAUUUGUGAAAAAUUUCCUUUAUCACCAUCAAGGACUAGACAUAGAAAGGGG
rnacentral:misc_RNA from 1 species